rnacentral:rRNA from 1 species
AAAACUUUCAACAACGGAUCUCUUGGUUCUGGCAUCGAUGAAGAACGCAGCGAAAUGCGAUAAGUAAUGUGAAUUGCAGAAUUCAGUGAAUCAUCGAAUCUUUGAACGCACAUUGCGCCCCCUGGAACUCCGGGGGGCACACCUGUUCGAGCGUCAUCGUCA